AGUGAAUAGAUACCCUGGUAGUCCACGCCCUAAACUAUGUCAACUAGGUGUUGGGUGGGUAAAACCAUUUAGUACCGUAGCUAAACGCGUGAAAGUUGACCGCCUGGGGAGUACGGCCGCAAGGUUAAAACUCAAAGGAAUUGACGGGACCCGCACAAGCGGUGGAUGAUGUGGAUUAAUUCGAUGCAACGCGAAAAACCUUACCUACCCUUGACAUGCCAGGAACUUGCCAGAGAUGGCUUGGUGCCCGAAAGGGAGCCUGGACACAGGUGCUGCAUGGCUGUCGUCAGCUCGUGUCGUGAGAUGUUGGGUUAAGUCCCGCAACGAGCGCAACCCUUGUCGUUAAUUGCCAUCAUUUGGUUGGGCACUUUAACGAGACUGCCGGUGACAAACCAGAGGAAGGUGGGGAUGACGUCAAGUCCUCAUGGCCCUUAUGGGUAGGGCUUCACACGUCAUACAAUGGUCGGUACAGAGGGUUGCCAAGCCGCGAGGCGAGCCAAUCCCAGAAAGCCGAUCGUAGUCCGGAUUGCAGGCUGCAACUCG
rnacentral:rRNA from 1 species